GCAGUGGGGAAUAUUGCACAAUGGGGGAAACCCUGAUGCAGCGACGCCGCGUGAGUGAAGAAGUAUUUCGGUAUGUAAAGCUCUAUCAGCAGGGAAGAAAUACUGACCAUAGGGUCAGCAGACGGUACUUGACUAAGAAGCCCCGGCUAACUACGUGCCAGCAGCCGCGGUAAUACGUAGGGGGCAAGCGUUAUCCGGAUUUACUGGGUGUAAAGGGAGCGUAGACGGCAGCGCAAGUCUGAAGUGAAAUGCCAGGGCUUAACCCUGGAACUGCUUUGGAAACUGUGCAGCUAGAGUGCAGGAGAGGUAAGUGGAAUUUCUAGUGUAGCGGUGAAAUGCGUAGAUAUUAGGAGGAACACCAGUGGCGAAGGCGGCUUACUAGACUGUAACUGACGUUGAGGCUCGAAAGCGUGGGGAGCAAACAGGAUUAGAUACCCUGGUAGUCCACGCUGUAAACGAUGAUUACUAGGUGUUGGGGGACCAAGGUUCUUCG
rnacentral:rRNA from 1 species